rnacentral:rRNA from 1 species
GGUGCAGCAGGCGCGAAAACUUUACAAUGCUGGCAACAGCGAUAAGGGGACCUCGAGUGCCAGGAUACAAUCUUGGCUGUCGCGAUGCCUAAAAAGCAUUGCAUAGCAAGGGCCGGGCAAGACCGGUGCCAGCCGCCGCGGUAACACCGGCGGCUCGAGUGGUAACCGCUAUUAUUGGGUCUAAAGGGUCUGUAGCCGGCCGGAUAAGUCUUUUGGGAAAUCCAGCUGCUCAACAGUUGGGCUUUCAGAAGAUACUGUUCGGCUCGAGACCGGGAGAGGUGAGAGGUACUUCAGGGGUAGGGGUGAAAUCUUGUAAUCCUUGAAGGACCACCAGUGGCGAAGGCGUCUCACCAGAACGGAUCUGACGGCAAGGGACGAAAGCUAGGGGCACGAACCGGAUUAGAUACCCGGGUAGUCCUAGCCGUAAACGAUACUCGCUAGGUGUCAGCCACGGUGCGACCGUGGUUGGUGCCGUAGGGAAGCCGUGAAGCGAGCCACCUGGGAAGUACGGCCGCAAGGCUGAAACUUAAAGGAAUUGGCGGGGGAGCACAAGGGCGAUUGCG